rnacentral:rRNA from 1 species
AUUGAACGCUGGCGGCAGGCCUAACACAUGCAAGUCGAACGAGUGGCGGACGGGUGAGUAAUGUCUGGGAAACUGCCUGAUGGAGGGGGAUAACUACUGGAAACGGUAGUUAAUACCGCAUACCAUCGGAUGUGCCCAGAUGGGAUUAGCUAGUAGCUGGGUUAAAGGCUCACCUAGGCGAAGAUCCCUAGCUGGUCUGAGAGGCUGACCAGCGACACUGGAACGGAGACACGGUCCAGACUCCUACGGGAGGCAGCCGUGGGGAAUAUUGCGCAAUGGGCGCAAGCCUGAUGCAGCCACGCCGCGUGAAUGAAGAAGUCAUUCGGGUUGUAAAGUUCUUUCAGCGGGGAAGCGUUACCCACAGAAGAAGCACCGGCUAACUCCGUGCCAGCAGCCGCGGUAAUAC